rnacentral:misc_RNA from 1 species
UCUGUAUUGGAAUUUAUUCAGAGAUCCAUAAAAGAGAAGUUUUGUUUGAGGAAUAGCUGAAAAGUUCAAUCUUUGAUUCAAAGUUCAGAUUUUUAAAUCAUUUUUGUGCAGGUAUGUCGACGGUAAGCAUUCCUUCGGGUUCAUUGCUACCAUCAAUUAGAUCCUCUGCCUUUACCAAGUCCCAAGUCUCUUUAGGUUCUGUUAAGAGUAUUUCUAAAGCGUUUGGCUUGAAGUUGUCGUCCUCCUUCAAAGUCUCUGCAAUGGCAACAUACAAGGUGAAGCUGGUUGACCGUGAUGGUAAAGAGAGUGAAAUUGAAGUCGCCGAUGAUGAAUACAUCCUCGAUAAAGCAG